rnacentral:rRNA from 1 species
GAUGAACGCUGGCGGCGUGCCUAAUACAUGCAGGUCGAGCGAACGGACGAGAAGCUUGCUUCUCUGAUGUUAGCGGCGGACGGGUGAGUAACACGUGGAUAACCUACCUAUAAGACUGGGAUAACUUCGGGAAACCGUAGCUAAUACCGGAUAAUAUUUUGAACCGCAUGGUUCAAAGGUGAAAGACGGUCUUGCUGUCACUUAUAGAUGGAUCCGCGCUGCAUUAGCUAGUUGGUAAGGUAACGGCUUACCAAGGCAACGAUGCAUAGCCGACCUGAGAGGGUGAUCGGCCACACUGGAACUGAGACACGGUCCAGACUCCUACGGGAGGCAGCAGUAGGGAAUCUUCCGCAAUGGGCGAAAGCCUGACGGAGCAACGCCGCGUGAGUGAUGAAGGUCUUCGGAUCGUAAAACUCUGUUAUUAGGGAAGAACAUAUGUGUAAGUAACUGUGCACAUCUUGACGGUACCUAAUCAGAAAGCCACGGCUAACUACGUG